rnacentral:rRNA from 1 species
UACGUAGGGUGCGAGCGUUAAUCGGAAUUACUGGGCGUAAAGCGUGCGCAGGCGGUGAGUUAAGUCUGCUGUGAAAGCCCCGGGCUCAACCUGGGAAUGGCAGUGGAAGCUGGCUCGCUGGAGUAUGGUAGAGGGGGGUGGAAUUCCGCGUGUAGCAGUGAAAUGCGUAGAGAUGCGGAGGAACACCGAUGGAGAAGGCAGCCCCCUGGGCCAAUACUGACGCUCAGGCACGAAAGCGUGGGGAGCAAACAAG